GUUGAAAUUCCUUUGGUUCCUCUGUGACGACUGGGAGCUCCUGUUCCUCUUCUGCAGCAGAGGAUGGGGGUUGAUCAGGAACUUCAGGUUCGAAGGAAGACGGAUCAUACAAAGGUCUUGAUUUUGUUGUAAACGUCAGUGGACAUUCGUGGCCAAAAGAACCGGGAACGAAUCAAGUCUAAUGUCCUCUCGAUCCCAUGGUGGCCCAUACGAUCAUGAAGCUGAACCAUCACCAUAUGCCGACACUCCUCUGGUAACACUAGCUGAUAGGCAGCACUGUUUCCCACUUGCCGUCUCCUGAGAAGAAGGUUGUUACGGAGCUCCAGUUUAUUUAUUUCUCUCAGCAGGAGUGGCAGAUCUGGAAGUUCAUCCCUUAGCAAUGGCGGUGGAGAUUCCCCCCUCUCAAGCUGAGCAAUCACAUGUUGGAUGAUGGGAUCAGCUCGCUGUUUGGCAGCAAGAUCAGCAGUAGAGAACCGGGGCAGGACAGCAGUGGCAAAUUGGGCAUCGUCU